AAAAAUAAAUAAACAAAUAAAAAUACAUCAAAAAACAAAAUCCCAAUAUUGUUUUGAUGCAACUAUUGUUGUAUAACUUGUACUUGAUUAGAGUUUAUCAUAUCAAUAUGCUGAAUACAACUCCUUAAGAACUAGUUAUGAAAAGAAAGUAAUGAGCUUCCAAGUUUAUAGAUCUAAAAUUUCCCAGUCAAAUAUAAAUUGCUGCAGUGAGAUAACACAUCUAUUAAUCAUAAUACUUUGCUUGUUAAAACUAUCUGAUACUUCAGAAUUGCUUCACAAUAUCCCACAACGAAGAGUAUGCUCCAAGGAUUGCACAAAUGAUGCCCAAUGCAGCAAUUGUAGAGCUCAAAAUAAUCUGUGUUCUUGUUGCUUUCUUCCCCUUGAUCUUUAGAAAACAUAAUGAUGGCAUUAUUACUGCCACGAGCAGACUGAGGACAGAACCAAUUAAAGCCAUCACGAGACCAAAAAAAGGAAGAAGAAAAGCCACACAAACAGAUGAGAAGACCAAUCCUGUUCUUAGAAAAACGAAGCACCACAAACUACUCGAUACUCCAACUGGCAGUAGCUCCUCUAUACUCCUGGCCAAUGGAUUCAUCAACAAAGCAUACUUGUUCAUUAUUAAGGGAAAAAAAAAUAAUUGAAUAAAUGAAACCGAGAGGCAAUUCAAAGUCCAAACAGGACAUCUCUUAUUAUGUAAUUCAGUUCUGUUAUUGAUUUUUUUGUCUUCCUUUUAGAAACAACAAAAUGGCACAAAAAAUUCAAUUCAAGUUCAAACAUCAUAGGCAUAUCAGAUAAUCAUAACUGCUGAUUGUAUUGUAAGUCAACAAUUAGUUUCAAAAGGAUAUUUGGUAAGUGGGUUGAUAACUGUAGUCCACAAGGCGAUUUUUGAAGUGAAGGCAUGUGGUGGCAUAUUCAAUGUUAUUUGAGAUAGGGUAUCUUCACCGAACAUGAGAAAUCCCAUUACCGCAAUGCCCCCAUAAAGCAGUAAGCACAAGAUGAAGCAUAUUAUUGCUGCCUUGGUAAAUUUUGUUUUAUCAGCCAUUGAUUGAUAGAUAUUCGGAAAAACUGAGUGCCCAGAAUAACAGAACCCGUAAACACCAAUUGCAAAUGGAAUGCCACUCCAUUUUACCACUGGACUAGUUUGAUGAAACCCAGCACCCCCUGCUGUACCAAGGAUAAUCACACAAAGAACAAUCAAAAUUGUCGCUACAACUCCACCAGCUGAAAGGUAUGAUAUGACACGAAGAUCCCUUAGCCAAACAGUUGGCAGGACAAUAAGCGCAGUUAGGAUUCCAAAGAAGUGCAUGGAGUCAAGAUGAAAGCCAGCCCAAUACAAGGACGUUCCAGGAAAUAGCCUAGUAAGAUUAUCACCCUCCAAAGUAAUAAAUUCCACACAGUAUGAAUAUAACUCCAUAUACAGAAUGAUAGCUAUAGCAAGACGUCCAUAUUUCCCAAAAGCAGCUUCACCUAUAUCUGGGUAGGUCAAGAUACCUUCUUUGCUUUCAAAGCAAUGUCUCAUAAGAUAUGCUGUGUAACAACACACAAAUGCGAAACAAGCUAGUACUACCAAACUUGCCCAGCCUGCUUCUUUCACCGUAUAAGGUGUUGAAAGAAGACCAACUCCAACCAUCACAUUAACCGAAUUGAAGACAGUUUGUGUGAAGCCACAUCCAUGAGCAAUGGGUAAUUCACCACUGGCAAAGGAACCUUUUGAGAAUGACAAUUGUGCUGCUGAAAUCAUAUCCGAGUCUUCCUUCUGAAAACCCUUUUCUUGAUCAGACAGUAAAGGAAACUCUCCAUCUUGUUCUAAAUAACUCUUACUACAGCUUUCAAGACUUGAAUAAUGGCAGCUUUGUGCAUGUCGAAGCAACCCAAAGCUUGGGGACAUUGAGAUUGAGUAAGAAUCAACUGUUUCCCUGUAGCUUUGAGGCCAUUGCUGAGAAGAGAAAGUUCCACAACCAUCACCAUUAUCAGCCGCUUCUCCGCUGCUACUGGUACUGCUGCUCCUACCACCAAUCUCAAUUAUCUUGUUCCCUUCUAAGUCUCCAAUAUUAUACUCACCAUCAUCGUCGUCAUCAUCCAAGAAAAACUCUGCUUCUUCUCUCUCUUUAUCCUUCUCCGCCAUUAACACCAGCCUAGAAGUAGGAAAAAAUAAAGAAACCAAAACAGAGAACAACCAGAGUAGAGGAGAUGGAGAGAAAAAGAGUAUAUAUAUAUAUGUAUAUAAGGUAUGGGAGCUUCUGGAGAGUAUUGAAUGGCGGCGUUUAAGCUGGCUAACUUUAUAUGGGCAUGUGAGCUUCCCGAAAGAGUGUUUGUUCUUGAAACUGAAAAUACAGAUUGGCUUCUCUUUUCUUUGCUUGAUUUGGUAGUUUGUGGUUGCAUUCUUAGAGGUGAUGGGUGGCCAAGAUUGGCAAAUGACAAGGCAACAUGCACGGCCGGUGACGAUUGUUCGGGGAGGUGUCG
rnacentral:misc_RNA from 1 species